UACGUAGGGGGCAAGCGUUAUCCGGAAUUACUGGGUGUAAAGGGAGAGUAGGCGGCAAGGUAAGCGAUAUGUGAAAGCCUUAGGCUUAACCAAAGGAUUGCAUAACGAACUAUCUAGCUAGAGUACAGGAGAGGAAAGCGGAAUUCCUAGUGUAGCGGUGAAAUGCGUAGAUAUUAGGAAGAACACCAAUGGCGAAGGCGGCUUUCUGGACUGAAACUGACGCUGAGGCUCGAAAGCGUGGGGAGCGAACAGG
rnacentral:rRNA from 1 species